rnacentral:lncRNA from 1 species
UCCCGAGCUUGAUUUUUUAUAAUGAGGGAAUUGUCCUGCAUCUGUAUAUUAUAUCCUUUCUCCACAAGUUGGCCAAGACUGAUAAUAUUAUUUUUCAAUGCAGGAAUAUAAUAAACAUCAUUUAUAUAUUUCUUUUCACCUUUCUUUGUCAUGAUCGUGACGGUACCUUUUCCUUUGACCGGAAUCUUUGACGAGUCACCAAAAGUAACUUCUCCGCUGAUGGUGUCGUCUAUCUCCGUGAAUAAUUCCUUAUGACCAGUCAUGUGAUUGCUUGCUCCCGAGUCA